GUGACAAUGCGACGCCGCGUGAGCGAUGAAGGCCUUCGGGUUGCAAAGCUCUGUCAGUCGGGAUGAAUGAUUGUGGAAUAACAUUCCACAAUUGCGACGGUACCGGCAAAGGAAGCCACGGCUAACUCUGUGCCAGCAGCCGCGGUAAUACAGAGGUGGCAAGCGUUGUUCGGAUUCACUGGGUGUAAAGGAUAUGUAGGCGUCUUAUUAAGUCGGGCGUGAAAUCCCCUGGCUCAACCAGGGAACUGCACCCGAUACUGAUGAGAUUGAGUACGGGAGAGGUAAGCGGAAUUCCAGAAGUAAGGGUGAAAUCUGUAGAUAUCUGGAGGAACACCAUUAGCGUAGGCGGCUUACUGGAACGAUACUGACGCUGAAAUAUGAAAGCUAGGGGAGCAAACAGGAUUAGAUACCCUGGUGGUCCUAGCUGUAAACGAU
rnacentral:rRNA from 1 species